AUUGAACGCUGGCGGCAGGCCUAACACAUGCAAGUCGAACGCGUGGCGGACGGGUGAGUAAUGUCUGGGAACCUGCCUGAUGGAGGGGGCUAACUACUGGAAACGGUAGCUAAUACCGCAUACCAUCGGAUGUGCCCAGAUGGGAUUAGCUAGUGGGGGGGGUAAAGGCUCACCUAGGCGACGAUCCCUAGCUGGUCUGAGAGGAUGACCGGCCACACUGGAACUGAGACACGGUCCAGACUCCUACGGGAGGCAGCAGUGGGGAAUAGUGGACAAUGGGCGGAAGCCUGAUGCAGCCAUGCCGCGUGUAUGAAGAAGGCGUUCGGGUUGUAAAGUACUUUCAGCGGGGAGGCGGUACCCGCAGAAGAAGCACCGGCUAACUCCGUGCCAGCCGCCGCGGUAAUAC
rnacentral:rRNA from 1 species